AGCAGCAUAUCAUAAAAUAAUUUAAUGUCUCUUUUACAGGGUGAAAAUUCUGUAUCAGAUUUCGUUGAGCCGGUUCUUGGUAACCAAGCAUUCCUUACUCUCACUGGAUAAACCCAACAUAGCUGACGCGGCAAAAAUGCAACCUCUGCUUACUCUCCUCAGUUUUCCCGAAACAAACGAUCGAAUAAACGGAAUAAAGGUCCCUUCUUUUCUUACUUCGAAGCAGCAAUUCCCAUGGCUUCCUUGCUCUUCCCAGCACCGCCAACUGCGACCCAACAAAACCCCAAAUGCGCUCAUCUCUCGCUCUCUCCUUCCUCUCUGAGACCCACUUCAGCUUUCCAUCUGUGCUUCUUCUCAAACCGAGCGAAAGCCACGAACACCCUCAAAUGCGACGCCUUUACGAGCGACAUUGCCCAGCUGGUGGACCAGUCGCUGUCCCAAGUCCCUCUUUUCCAAUCUGGGUAUGAGCGAAUUCUGGGCGUGGCCGAGGAACUGACGGAGAUGCAGAGAUGGGGGGUCGUCAUAUUCGGUGGGCUCACUUGGGUUUACCUGACGGCGAGGCCUGGGGUGUUGAUCGGCGCGAUCGAUGCCUACGUUUUGGCUCCGCUGCAGGUGGGUCUGGAUAGCUUGAGAGGGAGGAGGAGGUUGAAGAGGAGUGACUUUUUGAUCGGGGACAGGUUGGGUGAGGGGUCUUUUGGGGUUGUGUACUCCGGUGUUGUCGUCCCCGAGAAUGUGAAUGUUGAGGAGAGAGUGCAAAAGAGAGGGCGUGGCAAGAGAGCUCUGGAUUUGGAUGGGAGGUUCAAGGAGAAGGUCAUCUUGAAACAGGUUAAGGUUGGAGUCCAAGGCGCAGAAGAAUAUGGGGAUUAUGAGGAGUGGUUCAAUUACAGGAUGUCCAGGGCAGCACCUGAGACCUGUGCCGAGUUUUUGGGGACUUUUGUUGCUGAUAAGACGAAUUCACAGUUCACUAAGGGUGGGAAAUGGCUGGUUUGGAAAUUUGAGGGAGAUCGAGAUCUUGCCGAUUACAUGAAAGAUCGUAGCUUCCCUCUGAAUCUAGAGUCCAUCAUGUUUGGCAAAGUCUUGCAAGGGGUAGACUCCGUUGAGCGGAAUGCGUUGAUCAUUAAGCAGGUGAUGCGGCAGAUCAUAACUUCACUGAAAAAGAUUCAUGAUACUGGCAUUGUCCAUCGGGAUGUAAAGCCGGCCAACUUGGUUGUGACAAAGAAAGGGCAGAUUAAGCUCAUUGAUUUUGGGGCAGCCACAGACCUUCGUAUCGGCAAGAACUAUGUGCCUAAUUGCGGCUUACUUGAUCCUGAUUAUUGUCCCCCCGAACUUUAUGUACUUCCAGAGGAAACGCCAAGUCCACCUCCAGAGCCAGUUGCUGCCUUUCUUUCUCCCAUCCUGUGGCAGCUGAACAGUCCUGAUUUGUUUGACACAUACUCUGCCGGAAUCGUACUCCUGCAAAUGGCGAUCCCGACCUUGAGGACCUCUGCAGGCCUGAAGAAUUUCAAUUCCGAAAUUGAGGCAGUCAAAUACGACUUGAAUAAAUGGAGGGACUGCACGAGAUUGAGGCCCGACUUAACGAUUCUCGAGCUCGACUCGGGAAGAGGGUGGGAUUUGGCCACAAAGCUCAUCUCGGAGAGAGGUUUCCUGAGAAGGGGAAGAUUAUCGGCCGCCGCAGCCCUCAGGCAUCCUUAUUUUUUACUAGGAGGUGACCAAGCGGCUGCGGUUCUUUCUAAAUUGAGCUUGAGAAAAUAGGAGGUUCGCGAAUGAUAUUUUGUAAAGCCAAGAGCUUUCUCAUUUACGCGCAGGUCCUAAGAUGUAAUUCAUAGUGCAUAAAAGGAGUACUGGUCCAGUUUUCUUCUACUCCCUACUUGAACCUGUUGGCUCUCUACAUGUCUCCGAUACCGGCUCUCAAGUCUUGUGAUGGCGAAUCUUAAGAAAUUGAGUUCAACGUACAGGUAAGGCAGUGUUGCGGGAAUCAUCCUGAUGACAUGGGUAAAAGUCAUUGUCCUUUGUAUGAUAAGGUCGUAGGUCGGAUGUUUUUCCUCUGGUGCACGGCGGUUCAGCUGCUCGAUAGUUUCUUCCGUUGCCUGAAAAGGAGUUCGGAUAGUGUUGCGGCGAACGGCGAAUUGGAGAGGAACCCUCUUUCAAGACCCGCCGUGCCAUCAGCAUGUUCCCCCUCGGACUGAGACUGCUGCAGAUCUCCGUCAGCCAGUGAAUCUCGUCGCCGCCUCGCCGUGCACGAAGACGGUCCUGACAAAUUGUUUCCGGGUCGAAUUCGAAGAAGUAUACAUAAGAGAGAAAUGCAUCUCCGGUGCAGCUUGUUCCUAGUACAGAAUCAAUGUUGCAAAGGAUGUCUUUUGCUCUGUAUCUGCCCGUGGAAAUUUGGAGGCUCUCAGACCAUCUUCUAUCCCCAAAUUCUGACGCCGUCCAUAACAAAAUCUAAAAACUAGAGACAUUCAUGUACAACUGCAAGCAUAUCAUCAUCAACUUUAAUUACGCUCCCAUUAUUUAAUAU